GCAAACUUGGUCAUUUAGAGGAAGUAAAAGUCGUAACAAGGUCUCCGUUGGUGAACCAGCGGAGGGAUCAUUACAGAGUCGCAAUACUCCGUAAACCAUUGUGAACGUUACCUAACCGUUGCUUCGGCGGGCGGCGCCCGGGCCCUUGCGGCCCGCGGCGCCCCCCGGCCCCUGCGGGCGCCCGCCGGAGGUAUACCAAACCCUUGAAUUACAUGGCCUCUCUGAGUCUUCUGUACUGAAUAAGUCAAAACUUUCAACAACGGAUCUCUUGGUUCUGGCAUCGAUGAAGAACGCAGC
rnacentral:misc_RNA from 1 species